rnacentral:rRNA from 1 species
GAUGAACGCUGGCGGCGUGCCUAAUACAUGCAAGUCGAGCGAACAGACGAGGAGCUUGCUCCUCUGACGUUAGCGGCGGACGGGUGAGUAACACGUGGAUAACCUACCUAUAAGACUGGGAUAACUUCGGGAAACCGGAGCUAAUACCGGAUAAUAUAUUUAACCGCAUGGUUCAAUAGUGAAAGACGGUUUUGCUGUCACUUAUAGAUGGAUCCGCGCCGCAUUAGCUAGUUGGUAAGGUAACGGCUUACCAAGGCAACGAUGCGUAGCCGACCUGAGAGGGUGAUCGGCCACACUGGAACUGAGACACGGUCAAGACUCCUACGGGAGGAAGCAGUAGGGAAUCUUGCGCAAUGGGCGAAAGCCUGACGGAGCAACGCCGCGUGAGUGAUGAAGGUCUUCGGAUCGUAAACCUCUGUUAUUAGGGAAGACCAAAUGUGUAAGUAACUAUGCACGACUUGACGGUACCUAAUCAGAAAGCCACGGCUAACUACGUG